GCAAGAAGGGGCUAGUGGCCUCUUCUAGUUCCUUCCAACCUGGCAGCAGGCAGGCUCCUAUUCUGACACCUGAGCCCUUGCGGUGGGGCCCGUUCUGAGUCAACCAGAGCACAGGCCGGGGAUAGAGGCAAGGAGGCAGCAAUUCAACAGUGAAUUUGGGACCUUUGGAGCAACCAAGGGGAAGGUGGUGGUGCUGCUGAUGGCGGUGGAGAGCUCUGGGCUAAACCUGUCAUGAUGAUCCUGGAUUGUUUUUAUUCCAACCUCCCAGCUGACCUUGGGGACUGGAUAGAUGAUGAUGAUAAAAAUGAUCAUAAUAAUACCUGACUUGGCUGUCUUGAGCUGACUGUCCUGAGCCCCCACUGAGACCACCCAGACUCUGCAAGGGCGAGGAAAAGCAUAAAGUGCUCUCUAUGAAUGCAAGACAGUCUUUUCCUUCCUCCGACGUCAUCCCAUUCUUCUCCCCACUCCAAAAAAGGCAAGCACAGCAGCUGAGCACGCGCACAAGGGCAAGCGGAGGGCCAAGGCGGGCACCACCCCCGGGCAAGGGAGGGUAGACCCCUCCCUGAAGGACCGACUUGACCUGCCCAUCAGGCCUCACCCCCUUCAAAAGCAGCAGCAUCAGGGCCUGGCAGGUCACAUGUGGGAGGCCGAUGCAGCAGCCCCAAGGUUGGAAAGUGGGACUCCAUUCGGAUGCUCCCCACUGUUGCCCCCCUCCCUGCAAGGCCUGCCACCACGGGACACAGACCAAGAGGAGAACGAUCUCCAGGCCAAGCAAGCAUCAAGCAGGUGGCUUUUCUUGCAUCUUCAGCAUCCGCCAAAGAUGAGGGUGCGGGUCUGAAUACAUGCUCUGUUAGAUCACAGGACAGCGACCUGCGCUCGGUGAGGAGGUAACAGCGCCCCCAGUGUCCUACAAGGGUCAUCGAUCCUGUCCUGGACACGAAAGACUGGCCCCUGUUGUGGGGCCAGACAUCCCUCCUCCAUGACUCUUCCUCCUAGUGCAGACUAGCUGGGUUAGAAAUUGUGCUUUCUCUUCCGAGACCUGGUAGUCCGUGUGGGGGCUGAUGCUGGGGAAGCUGGUGGGGGCUCUGGCAGGGGGGCUUGGGCCUGGGUGGCCUGGGGAGUGGAGCCCGUAGGGGCUGCCCCUUCUGGCCCCCGCUGAGAUGCCUGAACCCCAUCCCGGAUCUCUGUCAGCGUCUGGCACAUCUGACCGACACGGCUGGUCAGCUCGGCCAUGGCCUGGCCGAUGACGUGCAUGCUGUUGGCCAUGUCCCGGUGCACGGUCACCAGCUCCUGGCAGAACUGCCGGAACACCUCGGUCUGCUGGGCAUGGACGUGGAGGAGCUGCCAGUCAAGGCCCGUGGUGGGUGGGCUGGGGUGCGGCCGAGGGGUCCUGCAGGCAGCCUGGGCCUGGGGCGAGGGAUGGGGCAGGGCCUCUGGCUUGGGGCCCACCGUCUCAGACUGGUCUGAGGAGGAGGAUGAACGGAGCAGGGCGGGCCUGGCCAGGUGGGCCUCUUCCUCCGGAGACCGCUGCAGAGGCACCCGAAGAGGCUGCCUUGAGGGCCCAGGCGCCUCCUCAUCUUCAUCAUCUUGGGGGACAGAAACAAAGAUGGAAAAGUGGUUACAAAAGGGAGAAGGAGGGAGGCCCAGGGGUUGGCCCUGCCCCUGAAAAACACCUGAGUAUCCCCCUGCCCUGCCACCCUGCGGUCUAGUUUGGCCCCCGCCCAUAGAGAAAUCCAUGUUCCCCAAAUCCCUGAGGUGCGUGGGCCCAGCAUCCCUGGGGGGAAGUUCCUCUUCCUCUCAACGGAACAGCUCCAUUCUAGUGGGGAAGAGCCCAGGCCAGGGGACUUGGAGACCGUGGCCCAGCGGCUGCAUGCCAACCCAGCAGCUCCUGACCUCAGCAGUCAGUUCAUCUCUCUGCACCUCACUUUCUGCAAUGAUAACGACUGCCCUGUCUACACAUCGAACCGCUUGGCUACCUAAUUGGGUUGUUAAGAAGAGUCAUAAACAAGAUGACAAACAUGAAGGCGCUCUGUAACGCUGAAGGAGCGGCACCUGCCUAAAGGUACUAAGACGCUCUCGGCCCUCUGAGCACCAGACUUUCUGAGGCCACGUCUGCAUUGCUUGGGGCCAUCUUGUGGCCUUGCUGGAAUCUGCACACUUUUUUUUUCCAUAAGUUACUGGGGUACAGGUGGUGUUUGGUUACAUGAGGAAGUUCUUCAGUGGUGACUUGUGAGAUUUUGGUGCACCCAUGACCCAAGCAGUAUACACUGUGCCAUAUGACGCAAAGGCAUAAGAAUGAUACAACGGACUUUGCGGACUUGGGGGAAAGAGUGGGAAGGGGGUGAGGGAUAAAAGACUACUAAUACAGAAUCUGCAUCUUUAAAUCACUGCAGCAGAUGCUGACAGGCUGAAGAAACUGGCAGGACAGUGCAGAGCAGGAGAGCCACCUCUGCAACCAGCCCUGCUGUCCCCCUGUCCCCCAAGGCAGGCUUCCAGUUCAGUCACAUCGUGCUCCCAUCCAGGAGCAUCUGACCGCACAGGGGCCAUCGGACAGACUGCUCCUUGCAGCCGGACACAGGGAGGAGGCCCAGCCUCUGCACAUGUGGGUCCUGCUUUCUGGUGACCAAGGGUAUGGGCUGAUCCCUGUGGCAGGAUUAAAUGAUGUAUGGGCUGACCCUACUGACAGGCAAGCCCUCCCUGCCUGGAUCUGCGGACUCAACUCAGAACCACCCCCCAGGAAGGUGAUGGGGAGGACAGACAGGUUUAUCUUACAGUUACCUCAUGCCUCCCAGGGGUCCUGGGGGCUCACUUGGGCCAGCUUGGUAAGAGUCCUGUGUCUCUUGGCAGUGUUUGGUGGGACAGCAGCCAUCCCCUGAGAUCCCAGAGACCUGUCUAGCAUGGCCAGUGUUGGAAGGAGUGAGACCCGGCGAGGUGAUGCUGCUCCUUCCCUCCCAGGUCCCCGUUCUGCCAAGCCCCUGGCCGAGUGCUGCCGCAGCUGGCCACUGCCAAGAAAAGGAGGGCUGUGAGCCUGCCAUGGGGGUGAGCGGGCUCUGCCUGAUGGCACACUCGGGCUCCCUGCCAGCCCAGGUUACCUUUGGUGGCCUCAUUACAUUCAGUCUCAGGGAGAUGGAGGGGUGAGUGGAGCAGGAUGCAGGGAACAGGCUUUACUGGAUGCUGACCCCCCCCAUUUUUUCUUAUCACGGGGUGGAAUCCUCUUAAGACUUAGGAAAACACUGAUUCACAGGAAGCCAGCAGACCCGGGUCCAAGUCCUGCUUCUGAAUCGAGCUCAGGGCCACCUUGGUUUUCAGAGCUUACUUUCUGCAUUGCAAGGAAGUUGAACUAAAUGGUCUCCAUGUUCUUUUCCAGUCCUAAACAUCUGACUCUGUGAACUGCCACCUGUCAGGAGCCCCAGCCAAACAGGAAGCAAGUGGAUCACAAUGGCAGGGGGCCCGGGAAGGGAAGGUGCAAGUGAGUCUUUGCGAAGCACCUUCCCAUGGGCUGAGCCACGGCUGCUUCCCCGGGGCCCCUCCUGCCUGGCUCCCACCACUCACGAGCCGGUCAGGCAGACGGCCUCUAGUGGGGACUGCAGCUGGCGGGGCACGGGGGAGAUGUGCAGAAGUGGAAAGGAAGGGUUGCAGUCCCUGCGGAGGCCUCGAGUGCUCCCCCUUCUGCUGAGCCCCAACUAGAACUCCAGCCCCAAGGGACACCCGCCUCGGCCGCUGGGGCCCUGGCUUCAAAGUGCAUGUGAGACACAGGAAGUAGAGAGGAAAGGCAGGGACAAGUACAGAGGGAGAAGAGGGGUGGGGAGCGGGUGGCGGAGCAGCCAGGAGGAUGGAGAGGGAGCUGAGAGGCAGCACACAGAAAAGUGGGGGCAGGCAGCGUGGCUCAGGCAGGGGAGUAAGGAGAAUAAUAGAGGAACAAAGCAGUCAGGACCAGACACAGAAAGGAACUGAUCUUUCCAUGGCCCGGCCCGGGCCUUCACAGCUUGGCCGCCUCGUCUCCAGCCCCCUCCCCCGCGCUGCUACACUUGGGCUUUCCUGGCUUCUCACUGUUCCUGGAACGUGCCAAGCGCCUUCCUGAUGCGGGGCCUCGUACAUGCUGUUCUCUGCCUGCGCGCCUCCCCUCCCCUUCUCCGCGCCCCACGCUGCUGCCUGGCCUGGUUAACUCUUACUCUUCACAUCCCAGUCCGCUGGACUUCUUCAGGGAGCCCUCCCCAGUCCCCAGUGGAGCCAGUUUUACCCACUCCUUAACUCUCAGACAGAGCUGCUACAUAACCUGCAGGGUCAAAUGCAAAAUGAAAACGUGGGGCCCUUGGCUCAAAAACUAUGAAGAAUGUCCAGAUGGCGACAGCAGAGCCUGAAACCCCGCGGCUCCUGUGACUGUUCAGGUUGCAUGCUCAUGAAGUCAGCCCUGCUCUCGGGACCUCCUGGACUCCUGUGUCCUCCAUCCCUUCGUUUCCAGUUUACUCGUGCAAUUAUUUAACGUUGGUUUAUUCCUAGGAGUCCAGGGUCUCCCCAAGAGCAGGGCCUGCCUGGGGUUUACACACAGCUGUCUUCCCAGCUCCUAGCACGGCUCUGGCACGGAGAUGCUCAGUAAAUAUUCGAGAAUGAAUGCAAAAAGGGAUGGAGAGGAGAAGAGUGGGAGAAGGAGGGGAGGAUGGAAAGAGUGGGCUGGACAGAGAGGGACAGGAGAGAACCAGAGGGAAAGUCGGUGGGAGACUGUGGACUGUAAGCUGGGGGGCAGGCAGCCGGCUGGGCGGCAGGGGGGACUGGUGAUACUCACAGCUGGUCGAAGGGCUGUCGGUGCCAUCCAGUUCCGCCCUGGGGAAGCCGCGCCCUGCACGGGCCGUGAGCAGCGCCGACUCGAUGGCCCUCUCGUGGGCCGUGAGCACGAUGGUGGGGGCCCGGCCCCCGGCCCCAGGGCCCGACAGGGACUGCUGCAUGAAGGCCAGCUUGUCCUUGGUCCUCCGUUUCAUGUCAUCCCAUCUGUGCUUAAUGUCCUUGACGGAGCGGGGCACCUGGCUGACGGAGGUGAUUUUCCGGGCUAUGCCUUCCCAAAUCUUGUCCCUGUCAGCAUGGGACAGCCGCAUGGUCUCCCUCCCAAAGAGCACUGCUUCGUGGUGGGUCACCUCUGUGACAAGAGUGUCCAGCUCCUCCUUGGAGAACUUGGGCUUCCUC
rnacentral:lncRNA from 1 species